AGAACAAGAUUUGGAAAGUCUGCCACCCAAAUCGGUUUCUUCAUCUGAUACUAGAGUAAACAGGAGGCCAUAUAAAGAAACAGACAAUCAGCAGAAAACGUCACUCAGUGUCAGUUAUGAAGUGCACGGUAGUUCAAAAGGAGAAGAAGAGCAAAUGCUCGAAAAGCACCCACCUAAUACCUUACAGGGAUGUGAGCAGGGGCAUAAACAAUCAACGAACGACAACCUUUUACAAC